UUCACUUUGAGAUUUACAAAUCUCUGAGGCCUCUCGAGGGUUAAAGCAUGGAAUAGGCAUGUUAGAAAACUUUGUUGACAAUUUGAUAUUUGUACUCCCCUUUAUUUUACACAUAAUCCUCAGACACCUGGAAGGUAAGAUGCCACCUCCUCCAGGUAGCCUCCCUCCCUCCUUCAGUCUGAGUUCGAUGCCUCCAUCUGUGUUCUGACAGUUCCUCUUGGAGGGCCUUUCCCGUGCCACUGCCUCUGAUCAUGUGUUUACUUUUCUGUCUUCUCCAAUAAGUGAUCACUCCUAGGGGACAGAGACUUUGUCUUUCUUGUUUUUGUAUUCACAACAUAUAACACAAAGUAGGUGGUCAGUAAGUGUUUACUGAAUGAAUGAGUGGAAGAGAAGAUAAUGGUAGAUCUGUUCCCGUAGACCUAAAUUCAUAAAUAAAGAGUGUACUUUUACAUGUCUUUCCCCAGAAAUCUAUAAAAGAUGUCACAGAUUGAUAAAAAGUUAGAAGACACACAAGUGCAUGGCCAGAGGCACUGCUUGAGACUGCUCUUAAUCUGCAUUGGGUUCUCAAGCAUAGAUAUGGCCCCAUGUGACAGAGGGUAUGAAAUGGUUAAACACUCAAACCUCUGAACUCCUACAGUCAUGAAGGACUUCCACUGAUGUUUCUCAGUAAAUAUGAUACCCAUGUUUCUGUGUAAUAGAAGACUACAUUUUGGACAUGAAAUAACAGCAACAACAAUAGUAAUUGUAGCUAGCAUUUAUUGAACUCUUCCUACAUGCCAUCCACUGUCCUAAGCAUACCACAGGUGGCAUUGUAUUUAGUCCUCAUGAUAUACCAGACAGUUAAAUAAUGUAAUUAUGUCCAUUCUACAGCUGAGGAAACUGUGUCCUAGAGAGUUCAAGUAACUUAUUUAUAAUUAAGCAUAUAGUAAAGACAGAAACAGUUUGAACCCAAGCCUUAUGCUUUACAGUGAUUAUAUAUUUCUAUCCAGUCUAAUAGUUAAUUUUCUCACUAAAUUGGGAAAUGGAUAAAGAAACCUUUCAGUUACUCUGAGCUUGAAAGUCAAACAGAUUUAAAUCUUGAUUGUGUGACCUUAUAAAAGUCAUUGAAUUUCUCUGAGCCUUAGUAUUUUAUUUUAUUUUAUUUGUGAAAUGAAAUGGAAAUGAUCAUACCAUUCUGCAAGAUUACUGUAAAAGUGAGAGAUAAUACAUAGUAGCCAUACCAUACAUGGAAAGUAUUGCCACAGCACAGGCAGGACACAGACUUCCGUGAUUAAGGAGGAAAAAAGCCACAUGAACAAGAGACACAGAGCCCAGGCACUCAAGGCAGGAUCUCCAGGGUAAAGGAUGAUCAGUAGUAGGUCAUCUGGAGAAAGACUGAAGAAAGUAAUUUCCCUUUGAGCAACUCAUUUGAUACAGUAAGCUUUGAAAAAAUUUGCAAAAUAAGAAGAGGCUACAGGUAAUAACAUCACAAAACAAAAACAAAUAAAGGGGAUCAGUAGACCUCAUACAAAGAAAAAAAAUCACCAAUCAUUAUGAAAGAUUACUUCUAAGCCAUAUCCAGCCAAAUUAAUUCACGUAGUAAGAAGGAACUGGCUGAGGAUGGUGGCUCAUGACUGCAAUCCCAGCAUUUUGAAAGGAUCUCUUGAGGUCAGGAGCAUGAGACCAGCCUGGACAAUAUAAUGAGACUCUGUCUCUACAAAAAAUGAAAAAUUAUCCGGAUGUGGUGGCAUGAACCUGUGGUCCCAGCUACACAGGAGGCUGAGGAGUGGGGAUUGCUUGAGCCCAGGAGGUCAAGGCUGUAGUGAACCAUGAUCAUGCCACUGCCCUCAGCCUGGAUGACAGAGCAAGACCUUGUCUCCAAAAAAUAAUUUUUUUAAAGGAGGAAUUGAAGCUUGUAUCAGAACCCAUUUUCCUGUCAUAUGUAAUUCAAUAUAACCAGCAUAAGUUAAAAUUCAUGCCAAACCAUAGUUCUCAUCCUGUGUUGUGGAGGAGUCAUCUCUGUGACUCCUUUGUCACAGAACUCUGUUGAAGCUCGAGGUUAAAGAAUCCUAGUAAAACCCUAGACCAAGCGGACAUCCACUGACCAUUGCAGUUAGGAAUCCAGUGUGCAGUGUGGGAAAAUGAGACAGAUGAUCUUCUAGAAGAUCACCAUGGCCUGGUCUCCUGUCCUUUCUUUAAAAAUGUAAUUUCCCAGUAAAUACAAGAUGGCCAAAUAGGAACAGCUCCAGUCUCCAGCUCCCAGUGCCAGCG
rnacentral:lncRNA from 1 species